rnacentral:lncRNA from 1 species
AGAAAAAGAAUGUGCUCCAACACAGCAAAAAAAUCAUUCAGGAAAUGGGAGCGUGAACGGGCUAACAGUGCUCGGAGGAGACUGAAAAGACACAGCUAGGAGUUCCCAUUGUGGCGCAGUGGAAAGGAAUCCGAAUGGUAUCCAGGAGGUUUCGGGUUCGAUCCCUGGCCUUGCUCCGUGGGUUCCGGCGUUGCCGUGCGCUGUGGUGGAGGUCGCAGACGCGGCUCGGAUCCCGCGUCGCUGUGGCGUAGACCGGCAGCUGUAGUUCCCCUCACCUGGGAACUUCCGUAUGCCGUGAGUGUGGCCCUAAAGAGCAAAAAUAAAUAAAAAUAAGUAAAUAAAUACACAGCUAAUCACCAAAUAAAACUGGGAAAAAGCCGUAAUAGCUAAGAGGCCGCUGACAUGGCACAGGACCAGAAAGGCAGCGUUUCUCUGCCCUCUUCCGUUCUGCCAAGGUCGCUGUGGAUCUGAAAGGGGAAAUUGAUGAAUGAGUAUGUUUGCAGUUUGACGUCACCUGGACUAGAGGCCAGGGAACUUUUUUUUAGUUAAGUGCCAGAUAGUAAAUAUUUGGGGCUUUGCUGGGCUCGGUCUCAGUCGAAACUCUUCCACUCUGUUGGCCUCUGUAGCACCAUCCCUCAGCUCUGCCACUGUCACUGAAGCGGCCGCAGAGAGUAGGUAAGUGAGUGGGUGUGGCCGUGUGCCAGUAAAACUGUAUUUACAAAAAAACAGGCUGUGAGUUGGAAGACCAUCUUUUGCUGACCCCCUGAGCUGGGCUAUUGAAGGCAAGCAACAAGGUAGGAUGGGAGAAAUACUGAGAAUUCCAGGUUUCCUGGGGUCCCUUCUAGGAAGGGGCAGCCUCGUGCAAGAGGCAGAUGGGUUCCAGGCGAGGCAUUGAGAAACGCUGUCUCCUUUCCAUUCUUUUUCGGUGCAGCUGUAGAAUCUCCAGCAGAGAGUCCAGAAAUCAAGUGACACUCUCUUGCUGUCCUCUACUGAAGGUUCUGAGCUGCCUUCUAAACGCUGUAGAACGUGCCUACCUUUGUCCCUGAAUUUAAUUUCCAAAAGAAAAAGAUGCGCCUCCAAUCCCGUUGCUCUGUUGAUGUGGGUCCUGACUCUGAGCCGGGCCCUGGGCCAAGAACUUGACCUGCGUUAACUCCUCACUCCUCCUGGUGCCGUCCACGACUGGAACCUGAGUGAGACAAGGGCACUGAAAACUCAGUCAUCGACUAUUUUAAAGCAGUGCUUUUUCACUCAGCAAACUGUGGCCUGCAGGUCAGUUACUUUGUUUUUGUAAACAAAGUUUUAUUAGAAGUUGGCCUGGGCAGGAGUUCCCGUCGUGGCACAGUGGUUAGCGAAUCCGACUAGGAACAUGAGGUUGCAGGUGUGAUCCCUGCCCUUGCUCAGUGGGCUAAGGAUCCAGCGUUGCCAUGAGCUGUGGUAUAGAUCACAGACGAGGCUUGGAUCCCGAGUUGCUGUGGCUCUGGCGUAGGCCAGCAGCUGUAGCUCCAAUUGGACCCCUAGCCUGAGAGCCUCCAUAUGCCACGGGAAGUGGCCCUAGAAAAGGGGAAAAAAAAAAGUUGGCCUGGGCAGCCUUGGUCCAAUCUGUCAGAUUCUGAUUGUGUUCAUUGUGGAUUUUUCUGCAUUAUGUUUGAUUUUUAGAAAAAUCGUGUUAAAAUACUUAGGGACAUCUGUGAUUUAGGCACCACUUUGUAUGGGCAGCAGAGAGGAUUGCUUCAACCUCCUUACCCUCGUCUCUGGCUCUUGUUCAAAUACAGAAACUGAAGCAGGAAGGUGAAGAAACUUCUAGCCCAGAGUUAAGUUUCAGGCCAGAAGUGUAGCUCCAGAGUCCACAUUUUUAACCAAAGUACUAGGCUGGGUCUCCAGUCAAGAGAAACAAAACAAAACAAAAACAACCCACUUUGUUAGAGUUGAUCUGAGUAGGGUGAAGACAGAACAAUCCCAAAAGAGCCUUGUUUUGUUAAAAAGUAACAGGGUUGAGGAGGAAGCGGGUAAGAAUAGCCCUGCCUCUGGCACUACUAUCUGAUUGACAUCCUGCUAGAGAUCGUACCUCAGAUUCUAUUUGCUCAUCUGUAAAAUGGGCCAUUUUAGGCAUUGGGCUGAAUGAUAAAAUCAACUGGUUUAAGAUGACAAAAAUUGACUCGCUUAUGUGUCCUUUCCUCAUUUUGCUGGGCUGCAGGUGGCAGUGGGGAAGAACCAAGAACUACGACUGUGAUUUUUAUGACAUGGGGCAUUUUGGUUUCGCUCUUCUCACCCCCACCCCCACAUUUCAACACGCAGUCCAAGGUGCUAGCAGUUUAAACUCCAGCCAGGGUAGGAGGAGGCCACCCUCUGUCCCUUCACCAUGGCUGGAAAUUUGCACAUAAAACUUCUGUUCAGCUCCCUCAAGCUACCUGGCUGAUCAUCCACCACUGCUGUUGCAAAGGGUGCCAGGAAAUCAUGGCUCCAGAGUAGCUUGUGCUGAGUUAACACCUGGAAGGAGAUGCUGGGUUGUGAGUGUUUUUUGCCCAUAAGCAGUAACAUAGGCUCUCGAAGGCUGGAGAUGACUUGACUGUGAAACACUGGCACGGGUCCUGAACACCCAGCACACUAUACACGAGCAUUUCUAUUGUAUCAGGGCUUUGUUUGAGGCUCCCUCUGCUCUGUCUGGAUAUUGGUCCAUGGCAUUCUUCCAGGGUUUUCUGUCGCUCUGGUCCAGUGGGUCUCAGCUGUGGCUGUCUGCUGUAGUCACCUGGGAAGCCCUUACAUAUUUGGAGGCUUGUCUCUCAGGGGAGGGGCCUGGGCAUGCCUACUUUCUAAAGUUGUGGGCGUGAUUCCAAUGUGCAACCAGGUGGAAACAGUUGUUCCAGCGAGGGAACAAGGCUGUCUUCCUGAGCAGGCCACCUGUGCUGUCACGAAGGGCCCUGCGCUCAGCUGCACACUCUGAAAUUCAGUUGCCAUCUUGAAAUUCAUUAUUUCUUGAACAAGGGGUCCUGCGUUUGCAUUUUGCAUCAAGCCCUACAAAUUACGUAGCCAGUCCUGGGAGGGAAAGAAAGCGUACCUAAGACAGAAGGUUGUGUGCACCCCUGGCACAGAAAAGGUCUCAAUCCGUGAAACUAGGACCAGCUAGGGCCCCAGAUGGGACGCACAGGCACCAUGAACCAUGACAUUCAAGCAUUUCCCCGUAGGAUUCCAUUCAAACCUUACAAUGAAUGGCAUUUGUAUUUGCCCCUAAAAAGUAACACUGACCUUCAGAAAAGUGAACUUGCUCAGUGCAGCAGGUAUACAGGAUUGUUAAACCCACGGGCACCGGACUCUGGUGCCUUUGUCUUACUUGCAGUCGGCUCUCACUGCGUCUAGGGUGUCUUCCACUGGCAGGAGUCAGGGAAUCAGGUAUCAGGUGAAACCAUUUGAGUUCUAAGGGUUGAGACAGACGAGAUCUUUAGCAAGAAUGACAAGGUCGAUAGUUGGAUUGGAAAGAAAAUUUCUUAUGUGGGUGUCACCGGAUCAUCAGAAAAUGUCCCUAGGCUCUCUGCCCGCAUGAGAGUAAGUAUUGCAAGGAUGACUGAGGUUACGUUCCCCCAACAUAGGCAAGUUACAAAACUGCACAGUAAGUUUUGCUUCAGUACUGAUGGUUGGUGAUAACCACUCUUGAACUCCCACCAGCAUGAGCAGAUACUCAAGCCAGUGUUCAGCCACGAGAUCUUGUUUACAUCCCACCUCGAGAUGCUUCUGUUUUAGAAGAAAAUGAAGGUAAAGAAGCCAAGCCCAGCACUGGUCAGGGUGAGAACUCAGGUCUGCCUUCUCAUACCUGACACCACCUGCUUGGGAGGGAAACCUGCCUUAAGGCCAGAGCACUUGUUGUCAAGUCAUGGACCCCUUUCCAGUGGAGUCUGAGUCCUCUAAGUGAUGUAUAAAAGACUACAACACAAUGCGUAGGUUUGCCCAGGAAAACAAUUACAUUGCAAGUUAUCAAAUGUUUUUGAACUAAAGUACAUUUUUAUAAGCAUAUUAAGGAAAGGCAGUAGCAGUAGAGGUAGUAACCAUAGUUGACCCUAGAACAACACAAGGGUUAAAUCUAAGUAUAAUUUAUAUUCGGGCUUUGGCUCUCCACGCCUGUGGUUCCCUUGGGUCUGCAGAUUCAACCAGCCACAACAGUGUAGCACUCUGGGAUGUACUGUUGAAAGAACACCCUCAUGUACGUGGACCGGUGCCGUUCAAACCUGUUUUCCAGGGUCCGCCAUGCUCUUCGAAGUAGAGAUGCACAUACGUGGAAUAUCAAGCUCGCGGUAGCACACACGUCAUGUGGAAACACCUCAUUUCUUUGGUUAACCAAGUCCCUGGUCCUGUUAAUGCUUCAGUGGUUGGGUCCCUACAUCCAAAAUGGAGGGAAAUGCUCAAUUUCAGUUAGAGGCUAGUAAGAUAAGAUUCAUCUUCUUUCCCAUCCAAAUCCCCAGAUCCUCUCAAUUCUGUCUAUGGUCCCUUUACCCCUACGUUAAUAAGACCUCUGAUGCGAAUUGAAUUUCUGGGGUCUGGGUGUUUUUUUUUUUUUUUUUUAGGGCCAUACCUGUGGCAUAUGGAGGUUCCCAGGCUAGGGGUCGAAUCAGAGCUGCAACUACCAGCCUACACCACAGCCACAGCAACACCAGAUCUGAGCCACAUCUGCAACCUGCACUGCAGCUCAAGGCAAUACCAGAUCCUGAACCCACUGAUCGAGGCCAGGGCUUGAACCUGCAUCCUCAUGGAUGCUAUUCACAUUCAUUAACCACUGAGCCAUGACAGGAACUCCUGGGGUCUGGUUUUCUUAAUAAAAUUGGAACUUUCAGUUACUUCCAUCAUAAGUAGAUCUAGUAGCAUCAGAGCUUAAAUAUUUAUACCCCCAAUGCCAACCCCUCCCCCAAAAAACCCACCUUUGAUCAGGAGGUAUUGACUAAACAGGGCUCUUUGUAAUACCUAUGUCCAGCCCUUUUCUGACAAGCUGUGCUUCGAAUGGCUCAAUCCUCACGUGUUAAUUAAGGAACGUUGGCCUAAUAGAAAACAUGUAGGUGGGUGAUGCCCGCCCCACUUUACAGACAGAACUCUCGAAGGGCAGCGUCAACAGGUACAAGUAGGUGGUGUUGUCCAAGUGGUUUUGUGGUUGGAUGGAGUGAAAUCCUCCUAGUGCUGGUCUGAAGGUUGGGUGAGACAUCUCCAAGGUGAGCUACUUUCUGGUAUCGAAAGUGUUCUGGAGUUCCCGUCGUGGCGCAGUGGUUAACAAAUCCGACUAGGAACCAUGAGGUUGCGGGUUCGCUCCCUGCCCUUGCUCAGUGGGUUAACGAUCUGGCGUUGCCGUGAGCUGUGGUGUAGGUUGCAGACGCGGCUCGGAUCCCGCAUUGCUGUGGCUCUGGCAUAGGCCGGUGGCUACAGCUCCGAUUCAACCCCUAGCCUGGGAACCUCCAUAUGCCGUGGGAGCGGCCCAAGAAAUAGCAACAACAACAACAACAAAAGACAAAAAAAAAAAAAAAAAAAGAAAGUGUUCUGUUCUUAAGAACUGUCCCUAUUGCAAAGUGGCUUUGUUUUCUUAUUACAAAAGCUCUAUGUGGUCCCUGGAGGAAAUAGAGAAAAGCAAAAUAAAAAUUAACCUCUGUGUCAGCCAUGGCAACACCUUGCUGGUAGGGGCACCUCCAGCCCAAAAGCAGGUAAGGCAGUUUCCCAUUGUCAAUGCCGUAAUGAAAAACUGUGUGGAGAACUGUGGCGAGCAUCCUUCUUUCCUGAAGAUGAACUUGGCAUAUAGCAAGGGCCCAGGGGCCCAGUUAGCAGGAUGCAACCCAACGUCCAUGAGCACAGGGCUGGUCAAAGGAUGAUAAACCCUACACACAUGACCACACAUCACUUAAAAGGGGUGGGGGGGUUGCCCCAUGUGUAUUGACAUGCAGAUGAUUGAAGGUCAACUAUUAAGUGGAAAAAUAAAAAUUGCAGAGUGUGCUGC